rnacentral:rRNA from 1 species
GAUGAACGCUGGCGGCGUGCCUAAUACAUGCAAGUCGGACGAAAAUACCCGAUGAGUAAUCGUUGGAAUAUUUUAGUGGCGAACGGGUGAGUAACGCGUUGGUGACCUGCCCCGAAGAGGGGGAUAACAGCUCGAAAGGGCUGCUAAUACCCCAUGAGUUCUUCCAGGUUAGAUACUGGUUGAAGAAAGGAUUUCGAUCGCUUCGGGAGGGGCCUGCGUCCCAUCAGCUUGUUGGUAGGGUAACGGCCUACCAAGGCAAAGACGGGUAGGGGACCUGAGAGGGUGACCCCCCACAAUGGAACUGAAACACGGUCCAUACACCUACGAGUGGCAGCAGUAGGGAAUAUUGCACAAUGGGCGAAAGCCUGAUGCAGCAACGUCGCGUGCGCGAUGAAGGCCUUCGGGUUGUAAAGCGCUUUUCGGGGAGAAGAGGAAGGACGGUAUCCCCGGAAUAAGGUUCGGCUAACUACGUG